rnacentral:tRNA from 1 species
GACCACGUAGCUCAGUUGGCAGAGCAUUGGGCUAGUAUUCGAAAGGUCCUAGGUUCGAUUCCCACCGUGGCCA